GAUGAACGCUGGCGGCGUGCUUAACACAUGCAAGUCGAACGGAAAGGCUCCUGCUUGCAGGGGUACUCGAGUGGCGAACGGGUGAGUAACACGUGGGUGAUCUGCCCUGCACUUCGGGAUAAGCCUGGGAAACUGGGGCUAAUACCGGAUAGGAGGAUGGUCUGGAUGCCGUGGUGGAGAGUUUUUCGGUGGGGGAUGAGCUCGCGGCCUAUCAGCUUGUUGGUGGGGUAGUGGCCUACCAAGGCGUCGACGGGUAGCCGGCCUGAGAGGGUGUACGGCCACAUUGGGACUGAGAUACGGCCCAGACUCCUACGGGAGGCAGCAGUGGGGAAUAUUGCACAAUGGGCGGAAGCCUGAUGCAGCGACGCCGCGUGGGGGAUGACGGCCUUCGGGUUGUAAACUCCUUUCGUCAGUGACGAAGCGAAAGUGACGGUACCUGGAUAAGAAGCACCGGCUAACUACGUG
rnacentral:rRNA from 1 species